GUGGCUUCGCGUCCGUGUCGCGGCCCUGCGGUCGGCGGCCUCCUGGUGGAGUGGAGCAAGGGUAGGCCCCGCGUGGCGUCUUUGCCCGGCUCCAAGAUGGACGGCAGCGGAGAUUGGGAGGCCGCUCUGGGGGAGCACGUGGCGCCCUGCUCGCCUGCUCCCGGGGCAGCUGGGAUGGUGGCGGAGUCCGGAGGCCUCCUGCCGCCGUCGGGCAGGGAGGCCGGCGGAGGCGGGGCCGUGGCCGCCCCCGAGAGGCGCCCAGGCGGCAGCGGCGGUGGCCCAGCCUCUUCUUUCCUCGCACAGCCAGGCGGUCCCUGCUAGAGUCCCGCGUCGCCAUGGCCGCGGUUCCCGAGUUGCUGCAGCAGCAGGAGGAGGACCGCAGCAAGCUGAGAUCUGUAUCUGUGGACCUGAAUGUUGAUCCCUCGCUUCAGAUUGACAUACCUGAUGCGCUCAGUGAGAGAGAUAAAGUCAAAUUUACAGUGCACACAAAGACCACACUGCCCACGUUUCAGAGCCCAGAGUUUUCUGUUACAAGGCAACAUGAAGACUUUGUGUGGCUACAUGACACUCUUAUUGAAACAACAGACUAUGCUGGGCUUAUUGAGUGGAGUGGUUGUCUCCUGUGGACCAGCAAGAGUAGAAUGAGGCUGGGACAAGAGACUCAUGAGUUCCUG
rnacentral:sRNA from 1 species